AAUUAAGGUUAAAUGAGUCGGAGUGUGGAGCCCUAAUCUAAUAGGACUGGUGUCCUUAUAAGAAAACGAAGAGACAUCAGAGAGCCCUCUCUCCACACACAGAGAAAAAGUCACGUGAGCACACAGCGAGAAGAAGGCCGUUUGCAAGCAGGAAGAGAGCCUUUACCAGAACCCAAAUUUUCUAGCAGCUUGAUUGUGGACUUGCAGCUUCCAGAACUGUUCUGGGGACUGGGACGUGGACAUCUUUGGAGGGCCAUCAACACUGAGUUCAGCCAAAGAGGAGCCUGUGUGCUGGAGCCCACCCACCCCCCAGACCCAGAGACAGAAGGGAGGAGGGGACCAUACGGAGUUUGGUUCAGCUCCACUGGGCGGCCUCCUUGGCUCUGUCAGCCUUGCUGCUCUGCGAGGGUCUUGUCACUGAAUCAAGGAUGGUGGCAACUCAGCUGGUUUCCAGGACUUGCAAGGGAGAUAACACCCAACUUCAGCUUGGGACAAUUCUGCUUCUUCCACUUCCUAGAGAGGCGUUUCCUUCCUCCCUUCAUCCACUUCUUCUCUGAGAAGUCUCAGGUGGGAAACAGGUGGCAGGAACUCAACUCACAGUAUCUAGACAAAGAAGGGGGAUUAUUGAUUUGCACAACUGGGAUGUUUAGGAAUAUAACAGCUUCAAGGAUGGCUGCAUUCAGGAGUUCAAAUGACGCCAUGAGUGUCCUUUCUCUCUCUCCCAAACAAAUUCUCUCCCUGCAGCUGGCAAGAUGGUUGCUAGCAGCCCCAGACGAAAUCCUAUCUUUUUAGCGAUGCCAAAAGAAAGAAACAGUCUUCUCUGACAGCCCUUAAUGAUAGGACAUCUCUGGGUCACGUGCCCAUCCUUGGAUGGGGCAGAAUCAGCAGCAGUGAUGUGCUGUGAGGGCUGAAUGUGCACUUUUAGUGACGUCAUGUUUGUAGCUUGAAAUUGGCCAUAGUGAGAGUGUUUAUACCAUGGAAAUUAGCAAACACUACAAAUCAGGGCUCCGCCCGCCCAGAGCCAGCUGUUAAACACUGAUGCACACCACUGAGUCAGCCCUACCUAAACCAAUGAAACAGUUUCUCCUGAGGAAAGAUACAUUCUAUUACCCAAAAAGGGGAAGUAGAGGCUGGCCAGGCAGAUAUAACAAAGGAACUCGACUCUGUUGAAUGCAAAUCUGCCUAGAGAUCUCAGAAAGGAAUCUUCCAGGGUUUCCUCCCACCCUGAAUCCCCAAGAGGACACUGACCAGGCCAAGGUUGAACCCACUGCUGAGACAGUCCAGCCAGUAUGCAGUCUUCCAGGAGAAGGGCCCAGCCUCUGCCCCUCCCACAGUCCUCCCUUCUCCGACCGCCAGUCACAUUCUACGGAAAAUUAAGGAACUUCCUGAGCCCACCGCUUUCUGCAAAGCCAUUCCAGCAACCUAGACCCAUGAUUUUCAGCUUGUUCAGCUAUUUUACAACAACCCUUUCAAAGCAGCCCAGAAAUGGGGGCUGUGGCUUGAUUUGAGGUUAAACAAAUAAGUGCCAUUUAUCCACCAACACUCUAGGAAUGAAAGAUUUCUUCAGGCAAAUUCCCAAGCUGUGUGUUCCAGAAAAACUGCUGCCCCAAAUUGCUGGGUUCCAGUCCAGUGUUCUCCAUUUCCGAAGCUAUCUGGGCUGCUUUCGGCUGUGCUCUGCACGGAGCACCAGGACUGAUGCUGGAGUUGGCGGCCAGACGCACCGCCUCUUGGCUGUGUCAGCCUCCCACUCAGCGCCCACAGGACCGUAGGAGCUCCUGGGGUAUUUCUUGGCCUGCUGGGAAAUGGCUCCUCUCCAUCCUAGGAGGCCUGGGCCAGACUGCUGGCUGCUUGAGGCAGAUUACUUUUCUUCCCAUGUUUUGAGGGCAGGCAAGAAUGAGAAAAAAAAAAAAAAACACAUUCUCAAACAAAUAAAACUCCGCUCCACCAGCCAGGAAAGCUGAGCUUCUCAGCUGGUGGGGUGCAGGAGCAAUUCAACAGAGAAGUCUUCCAUCCUUCUCUAAGAGACUAGUUUUGGCCAAUGAAAAUGAGCAGAAGUGAUGCGUGUCCUUGCCAGGCUGAGGCAAGACAAAGCCCAUGUCUCAUUCUCUAGUCUCUCUUUCUCCCAGACUCUUCAACUAUGGAGGCUAUGUGUUCUGUACGGUGCAGCUAGAAGAUGGAGCUUCUGUCCACCUGGGUCCCCAAGUUAGUCUGUGGAGCAGAACUGCCUGCCAACCUGCUGGGACAUAGAGUGUGAGCAAGAAGUCAACUUUUGUUGUGUUCAGCCACUGAGCUCCAGGGGUUGUUUGUUACUGCAGCAUUACCUGGCAUACCCUGACUGAUUCGAGCUCCUGGCACACUCUGGUACACUCUCCCAUGCUGUUCACCAGGAGAGGUCAGCAUGCAAGAGGUAGAAAACAACACUUCCUCCCCCUCUGGCCAACAGCCUUCACCCAAAGGAGUCCUUGCGAGCUUAUAUUCAGGGGCCCCAGGGUUCCUUGUCUCGCUAAAGAUUUAAGGAACUUUUCUAAGGCUUGGGCCUGGGUCUGUGCCUUCCUUUAAAUGUCUCUACAGUACUUGGUUGAACACUAGCAUACAAAUGGUCCUCUCUCACAUCCCAAGACAUCGAACAGGGCAUGAUGCACUUUCACUGGUGAUCCCCCAUGAGGCUGAUGGGAUAGGCUCACUUCCUGCUUUAAAGGUGAGAACAGUGAAGCCCAGGAGGAUUAACGUCCUGCCAAGUUUGCACAGCUAACCACGUGAAGAACUUGAGCCCAGGUCUUAUGCAUCUUGCCACGAUACCAAUAUUUCUCAAAAUGUAGUUGACAGACUCUGAGAUGGAACCCGGGAAUCUGCAUUUUCAAAGCUCCUUGGGCAAUAAUUGUGCUUGCUAAGUUUGAGAACCCUCACACCAC
rnacentral:lncRNA from 1 species